rnacentral:rRNA from 1 species
UACAGAGGGUGCUAGCGUUGUUCGGAAUCAUUGGGCGUAAAGGGCGUGUAGGCGGUUUGUUAAGUCAUGUGUGAAAUCCCUCGGCUCAACCGGGGAACGACGCAUGAAACUGGCAAGCUAGAGUACCAAAGAGGGGGGUGGAAUUCCCGGUGUAGCGGUGAAAUGCGUAGAUAUCGGAGGAGACUCGGUGGCGAAGGCGGCCCAUGU